UCGAUUCGGUCAAUAAAAACUUCUAAUUAAUAUUAUUAUUAUAAUAAUCAGAAGAACAUAAUGAUAUAAGUUGUUGGAUUCAUUUCCUAAAGGAAAAAUAUUGGAAGAGGGAAGCAAAUAGUAAAAUCCCAGCAACGAAAACAAGGGCACGUUCAAAAUUUGGUGCUUCAAAAGGAUCAAACACUUGAUAUUUUCAUCUCAAAGUUUGUUCAAUUUCCCACCUGUUUGGAAAGCUUUGGAUUGAUCCCUGAGGUUUGGAAAGGCUCAAAGAACUUGCUUACAAUCUUUUGCAGCUUUCGCGUAACCCCAUAUGUGGAAAGGACAAAGUAAAGACGAAAUACAUGAUUGGAGUUCUUUUAACUCCGAUAUUAACCUCCCAACUCCAUUUCCCUUUUCUUCAACAACUCCAUGGAACUCUGUAAGCAUUGAGAAGGUGGUGUUUCCUUCAAAACAAUAGCUUCUAAGAUGCAGGUAAACAAUUUACAAGCAUAUUUAUCAUGUUUCAAAAGCUUUCAUAAUAAUAUAGACACAUAUUUCGGUACGAGUAUGGAUCAUGAAAACUUUUCCUCAAAAAAACAAAGAAAAAGAAAAAAACAUGGCCUGAGCUUUCCUUUCAUAAAAAAUUACAAAGAUGAUUAAUAUAUACAAAGUACUUAAAUUUGAAAAUUAAUACCUACUUACUAGAACUAUUCAUUGAACGAGCUACCAGGCUCAAAGGCUCGCUUAAAAUUUGGGAGAAUUUAGGCAAAAAUAUUAGGCUCGAAAAAUUAGUUUGGACAAAAAAAAUUAGGUCUAUUUAAAAUAUGGGUCGAUCUCGAGCUUGAACAUUCAAAGCCCGAGCCUAACCCAAUCCGUUUUUAAGUUUAGAAUACUUUAUAUUAUGUAAUUUACAACACAUUAAAAAAAUUUAUAUUAAAUAUAUAAUAAUACUCUAAUGUAAACAUUAAAAUAAUGUUAAGAUCACUGUAUAAAAAAAUUCAAUAAAUAAAAUAAUAUAUAAAUUUAUUAAAUAUUAAAAUUAUAUAAUAUAAAUAUUUAAAGAAAUUAAAAAACAAUAUGGGUGGGCCUAAAAUGAGUUUUGAUUAGUCUUUUACAAAUAUGGCAAGUUUGGGUAAAAUUUUAUAUUCAUAUUUUGAGUCAAACCGGGCUUGGACAAGUAUAAAAUAUGUUAAUAUUAUGCUUAGAUCUAAUGUGACCCAUGAGCACCUCCAUUACUUGCUACCUGGAUUUUUGUUUUGGACUUAAUUAAUAUCUAAAUUUGAAACCAUAAUAUGAUUAUAUGAAGCAGCUUUAAAUUUUGUCACAUGAUAAAAAAGAUAAAAAUAUAUAUAUAACUUUUUAUAAAAUUUAAAUAUUUUUAUUUUUACCACGUACGUGUAACCAUAUUAAUACUCGUGAGUGCAGCAUAUAUAUAUAUAUAUAUAUAUUUUAACGAUGCAUGUUAAACCUUCCAAGACAUCCACUUCUUUUUUUUUUGAAUUUUUAUAAUUUAUUAUUAUUAUGAGGUGAUAUUGACAAUUUUGGUUUCAAAAUAGCUUUUUUUUAACAUGUGGCAAGCAUUUAUUGGAUGCUUAUUAUCACAUUAAUUUUUAAAGGGAAAAUUAAUGAGGUGCCAAUUUAAUAGAUCAAAUGAAAGCACAGAUAUGAAAUUGAUAAAUGAAUUCUCUAAAUACCUAAAUAAUAAUUUACCUACAAAUUAGAUAUUAAUUAUUCAAAAGAAAAUUUGAAUUGUUCUUCUGUUUGAUCUCCUGUAGUUGUUGCCUACACUUCAAUGUCUCAAUCUAAUAGAAAUGGCUGCCCCCACUCCCUGGCCCUUCAUCCAAACGUGCCACGAUAUCCCAAUUUUUUUACUAUUUCCCAGCAUUCUUGCCCGUUAAUGCCUAGGUUUUUAAUUUUUUUUUAAAAGUAAAUUUAUUAAUUUAUUUAAUUAAUGGAAUCAUACAAUUUAAGGAAAAAUAAUAAUAAACACUUAUCGCAGAUGGUGAAAGACAAACUCUAUCAAACAACAAAAGCUUUAGUCUUAGCAUCAAUGACACGUCAAUAAUGGACUAUUACAACUCAAACACGACAUAUAUGGAGUAAUUGCAAGUACUUAAUACGAUAAGAAAAUCAACUCUGGAUGGUCCAAAAGCGACGAGCAAAAAUCGACAAAAGAAUUAAGCAUUCACCAAACUAGAGAGGACGAUAACAAAAUCAUCCUUAAAAUCAUUUGUAAAACUAAGGCUACAUGCAUAAACAAGACUAAAAACGUGCUACAAGAAUAGACAAAAACUUCUAAAACUAAAAAGUUAUUAAAUAAACAAAAAAAUAUAAAACUUAAGACAACAUAGGUCCAAAUCGUCUAUCCAUUUUCCAAGAAAAAUUACUGGUGGGUGGUGGAGUUUUAGCAAGCAACAGGCGAUGUCGUCUAUCCAUCACAACUUGUGAAGGCAAAAAGAUACCCACAAAAUAGAUCUUCAAACUGAAAAAAAAAGAAGACACGUGGAGUGAAUUAGAAGCAGAAAGAAAGAAAAGGUUGGUGGGAGUGAGAAAAAGAUGAGAGAUAGCUAACCCGAAGGCUGGUACUGCUACGGGGCAAAACAAAAGAUAAGAAGUAAACAACUUGGAAAAAAAACAAUUUUUUAGGUUUUAAAUUUAAUUUUUAUUUCUUUAUUUAAUGAAAAAUAAUUUUAAGUUUUAUUAGAUAUUAUUUUUUAAUUUCAAAGAUAAAUUUUUUAUUAAGAUUUAGAAUCAAAUGAAGAUUUUAAAUUGAUUCAAUGAGUAAUAUGAAUCAUUAAAAGUAAAAAAGAAAAUUAAUUUUUAAUGAAUCAAUUACAUAUACUAAAAUCGAUUCGCAAGUAAAUGUGCUAAUCAAUCAAUUAAACCUAUUAUUUAAAAAUAGGUUUAAACAAAAAUUGAUAUUUAAAUUAUAUUAAUUUUUCUAUCUUAUUACCUCAAUUUUUUUAAUAGAAAUGAUACCUAAAUUAUAUUUUCAUUAUUUAAAUAACUCCUAUUAUUAGGUCUAUUAAAAAACAAUUAAUUAAAAUUUGGCACAGGGCACAAAAAGAUACAUAAGUAUUAUUAUGUAUUUAUUUAUGUAUGAUAUACAUUGUUAGUGGAGUAAAAAAAACAUUAUAAGCGGGUUUAGGUUGAUAUCAUUUGUUAUCAGGGUAUAAAAAAUAAAAUUUAAAUAAUUAAAAAAAGGAUACUUGAUAUCAUCUUAGAUUCACUUGUGGAGUAUUUUUACUCCACUCAUAGUGGAUAGAGUAAUUAUCAUGUCAUACCCCAAAAUAUAGGGGUAUAAUUGAAAUAAUUAACUAAGAAAUGAAGUAUGCUUGAUGGUUAAAUAGUUAAGUGCCCUCCCUAGAGGUCUUAGGUUUAAGCUACCCCUCACCCAUUUCUUUUACUUUUAUUUUCAACAACCUAGGAUAAAAACCACAUUAAAAUAAUAUAUUAUUAGGAGUAAUAUAAUUAAACAAAAAAUAGGCCUUAACCCUAACGGUUAAGAGCUUUCUUCCCCCUAAAUAAUCUAGAUUCGAUCCACAUUCUUCCCCUUCCAUCUUUUUUCAAUCUGGUCAAUUUUGGGUAUAUUGCCUAAGUCGCCCCCUAGGGUUCCCAAACCCUAGGUAUUUAGUUUAACUUUUCCCAAUUGAACUUAGAUUUUGUUUUCUCUUCAAUUCCAAUUAGAAUUUUCUUUCCUCUCACUAUUUUUUUCCCUCUUUCUUUUCUUCCCUCUCAUUUAAAUUAUAUUUUUCACCUUUUUGCUAUUGAAUAUUUUCUUCCUCGUAUCGAAUCAACCUCAUUUCUUGAUUUCUUAGCAGUAUCAUCAAAUAACAUCCUUAAUAUUUUCCAAGAAUUAGUAAGUACAUCUUAAUCCCAAUGAUUAACCUCAAAUUAUUAUAGAAUUUCUGUCCAACACUAAUCUCGCGACUGAUUAAAUGAUCUCUUAUGAUUCUUGCCAAAAUCUUUCGUAAAUUUUGUUAAAUCUUGAUACCACUAUUAGUUCAUGUGAAUUUGUUAUUGAAGGAUCAAAUUUAAGUGCGUCAGACCAAAAUCGAGCGU
rnacentral:lncRNA from 1 species